UACGUAGGGUGCAAGUGUUGUCCGGAAUUAUUGGGCGUAAAGAGCUCGUAGGCGGUUUGUCGCGUCGAAUGUGAAAACCCGGGGCUCAACCCCGGGCCUGCAUUCGAUACGGGCAGACUAGAGUUCGGUAGGGGAGUCUGGAAUUCCUGGUGUAGCGGUGAAAUGCGCAGAUAUCAGGAGGAACACCGGUGGCGAAGGCGGCCCGCUGGGCAACUGCUGACACUGAGGCGCGACAGCGUGGGGAGCAAACAGGG
rnacentral:rRNA from 1 species